GACGAACGCUGGCGGCGUGCUUAACACAUGCAAGUCGAACGGGCCCGCUCUCUUUUUUGGGGGUGGGUUGAGUGGCGAACGGGUGAGUAUCACGUGAGUAACCUGCCCCCUGCUCCUGGAUAACUGCUUGAAAGGGCGGCUAAUACGGGGUGUGCCGGCUGGUCCGCAUGGGCCUGGUCGGGAUAGUUUCAUCUUCGGGUGUUUCGGUGGGGGAUGGGCUCGCGGCCUAUCAGCUUGUUGGUGGGGUGAUGGCCCACCAAGGCGGUGACGGGUAGCCGGCAUGAGAGGGUGGGCGGCCACACUGGGACGGAGACACGGCCCAGCCGCGUGCGGGAGGCAGCAGUGGGGGGUAUUGGACAAUGGGCGGAAGCCUGAUGCAGCGACGUCGCGUGAGGGAUGGAGGCCUUCGGGUUGUGAACCUCUUUCUCCGGUGGUGAAGGCCCUGUCCGUUGCGGCGGGGUUGACGGUAGCCGGGUAUGAAGCGCCGGCUAACUACGUG
rnacentral:rRNA from 1 species